AGCCGGGAGUGGGCUAAUACAAGACCGGUCAACCGGAAAUAUGCCCGCCGCGCUUGCACGGUUCUUAGCUCCCGGCUGUUGUUGC
rnacentral:ncRNA from 1 species